GCAGCCGUGGUCUAGGGGUUAUGACCGGAGCUUCCCAAGCUUCUAACCCGGGUUCAAAUCCCGGCGGCUGCA
rnacentral:tRNA from 1 species